rnacentral:piRNA from 1 species
UAGAAAGUUACCACCCUCCAAGUCAGCUUUA